UGGGGGAAUAUUGCACAAUGGGGGGAAACCCUGAUGCAGCGAUGCCGCGUGGAGGAAGAAGGUUUUCGGAUUGUAAACUCCUGUCGUAAGGGACGAUAAUGACGGUACCUUACAAGAAAGCUCCGGCUAACUACGUGCCAGCAGCCGCGGUAAUACGUAGGGAGCGAGCGUUGUCCGGAAUUACUGGGUGUAAAGGGAGCGUAGGCGGGGCGGCAAGUCAGAUGUGAAAUAUACGUGCUCAACAUGUAGACUGCAUUUGAAACUGUCGUUCUUGAGUGAGGUAGAGGUAAGCGGAAUUCCUGGUGUAGCGGUGAAAUGCGUAGAGAUCAGGAGGAACAUCGGUGGCGAAGGCGGCUUACUGGGCCUUUACUGACGCUGAGGCUCGAAAGCGUGGGGAGCAAACAGGAUUAGAUACCCUGGUAGU
rnacentral:rRNA from 1 species